GAGGAGAGGUAAAGCCAACGAGAACUGCUAACUCUUGUAUCCGAGUAUAAAACCCCGGUCUCCUUA
rnacentral:tRNA from 1 species